CGCCACGGUGAAUACGUUCCCGGGCCUUGUACACACCGCCCGUCAAGCCAUGGAAGCUGGGGGCGCCCAAAGCCGGUAUUUUUUAUACCGUCAAAGGCGAAAUCGGUAACUGGGGCU
rnacentral:rRNA from 1 species